UACGUAGGGGGCAAGCGUUAUCCGGAUUUACUGGGUGUAAAGGGAGCGUAGACGGAAUUGCAAGUCUGAUGUGAAAAUCCGGGGCCCAACCCCGGAACUGCAUUGGAAACUGUAUUUCUAGAGUGUCGGAGAGGCAAGUGGAAUUCCUGGUGUAGCGGUGAAAUGCUUAGAGAUCAUACAGAACACCGAUUGCGAAGGCAGCUUACCAAACUAUAUCUGACGUUGAGGCACGAAAGCGUGGGUAGCAAACAGG
rnacentral:rRNA from 1 species